CUGCAGCUGUACACACUCCUCUUCCUACUGAGACAACACCUGAAGGUAUUUGUUGUUGGCUUUUUUUUUCAUGUGCUAUCGGUUUAGAUUUGCUUCAGUGAUAUAAAUUUUGCUGUGUGGUGGUUUUGUUGUAAUUUGUUUUGUUGUAGAUGCUGAGGGUGAGGAAGAGGCUGCGAAAGAGGCUUAUGAGGUCGCUGGCAAUGAGGAUGAAGUAGGUCAGAAGGAGGGCGAGACAGAGGCUGACAAGGAGGGUGAAACUGAGGAAGGCAAGACAGAUGUGGAGGACUCGCCAUCUACUCUUCAAGUGAUGGCAGAAGCUGCGGAGAAACUCGAGAAAGAGGUUGAUGAUAAGGCUGCUGCAGAGAAAGCUGCUGCAGAGAAGGCUGCUGCUGAGUUAGCUGCUGCUGAAAAGGCAGCUAGUGAUAAGGAAAAAGUUGGUGAUCAGAAGGAGACCAGGCCAAAGAGGACCCAUAAACCUUCUCGUCCGCUCAGGUCUCCGUAUCAGAAAAACUAAUAGCUAUUUGGAAUAGCUUUUAAGAACUAAAACUUAUGUUCCAACUAAAACUUAUGACUUAUGUUUCUUUUGAUGCUAAAACUUAUGACUUAAGCUUAUGAGGUCGCUGGCAAUGAGGAUGAAGUAGGUCAGAAGGAGGGCGAGACAGAGGCUGACAAGGAGGGUGAAACUGAGGAAGGCAAGACAGAUGUGGAGGACUCGCCAUCUACUCUUCAAGUGAUGGCAGAAGCUGCGGAGAAACUCGAGAAAGAGGUUGAUGAUAAGGCUGCUGCAGAGAAGGCUGGUGAUGAGUUAGCUGCUGCUGAAAAGGCAGCUAGUGAUAAGGAAAAAGUUGGUGAUGAGGAGGAGACCAGGCCAAAGAGGACCCAUAAACCUUCUCGUCCGCUCAGGUCUCCGUAUCAGAAAAACUAAUAGCUAUUUGGAAUAGCUUUUAAGAACUAAAACUUAUGUUCCAACUAAAACUUAUGACUUAUGUUUCUUUUGAUGCUAAUACUUAUGACUUAUGUUUCUGUCUACUGAGACAACACCUGAAGGUAUUUGUUGUUGGCUUUUUUUUUCAUGUGCUAUCGGUUUAGAUUUGCUUCAGUGAUGUAAAUUUUGCUGUGUGGUGGUUUUGUUGUAAUUUGUUUUGUUGUAGAUGUUGAGGGUGAGGAAGAGGCUGCGAAAGAGGCUUAUGAGGUCGCUGGCAAUGAGGAUGAAG
rnacentral:lncRNA from 1 species